UCCACGUUUUCCUAUCCUGGCCGUUGGUGUGUUGUGAUCGCAUCCGUUCGUUGUUCCAGCGCAGCCGCCCCCGUCCCUCUUCUCAUCCCCACCACUGCAGCUGCUGCUUCCUGUCAAUCCGGCUUCCUACGGCCAAAUCGCCGCCGCCGUCUCCCUUCUCUCCGCAGAACCGGCGCCCCUGGGUGGAGCUCGCAUCGUACCUGCAGAUAGGUGGCGGCACUGGGCCGGCAGAGGCAGAGGACGCGGUGUGCGCGCUGUGUACUGCGGUGAGAGCCAGCCUGCAGGAUACGGGGGGCGCUGCUGGUCAGGGAGCGGAGCCGCGCGUCGGCUCGGCGGCUUGACGACGCGCCGGGCGGAGAUGAGGCCCGCGGCGUCUGGACACGCGGCGGCCUGGCGACGAGGAGACAGGGGCUGGAAGCGCGGCCGUUGGAGGUUAUCUCCUUCCCUUUGUUUGCGCUGAUGCUUGAGCACAUGAAUUUGUUCUAGGCAAACGAGGGAUUACCUACCCCCACACCGCGCCUUCCUUCCUCCUCCUUCUCUUUUCUUUUUCUUCGAGUUUUCACUCUGUAGGUACGUGAUGAAGAAGAUCCGCCUGUCGAAGCACAACGACACGUUCUAGCGGACUGCUUACCAGGAGAUAUAUCUGAUGGCGAGCCUCUGCAGCAACCCCCACAUCGUCGAGUGCAAGGACGGAUGGGUCGACGAGAGGACCUCUGCGUGCAUCGUUACAAGUUGUUGCGAAGGAGGUGACAUGUAAGCUCUUGCGGUUCGCCUUCCUUGCCACCACAUGUAAAAAUUCUCCGUUUUGAGGUAUGCGCUGGUUUUUAGUUACUGAUGACUUAAUUAGGGGUUCACAGAGCGGAGAGAUCAAGAAGGCAAGGGGCGUCCUAUUUUCUGAAGAGGUAAGAACACUGGUGUAGUCUGUAGUGUUUACAGUGUUUACACCUACAGACAUGAGCAGUAGACAAGGAAUUGUUCAGAGUUCAGAAACUUACCUUCCUCUUUGGUACUACUAAUUGUGUUAUCUGAAGAGGGUUUGCUGGUGGUUCACACAAUUGCUCUUGUUCCUUAGCUAUCUGCACUGCAAUCGUGUGCCACGCCAUGACUUCAAGUGUUCCAAUAUCUUGUGAACAAAAGAUCGACAAGCUGCAAGCAAAGUUGUCGAAGCAAAAGAAGCAGCUCUCUGCAGAUGCCUGAAUAUCCUAAACUCCCUUCACCUAUAAUUUUAACCUGGUGUUAACUAUAUUUACUUGAUUCAUUUCGAUAGAGGUGGUCUCUUUUUGCCAUGUAUCAAAAUAUUCACUUGCGACGGGUGCCGAGAACCUGGCCAAGGGAAUACAGUGGUGAGGCGAGAUGAUGGUGGAGAGCCUCCGGUGGGGGAACAAAGGCCUCGGGAAGAGGAUCCAGCCCGGUGAUGCUGACGCUGAGGUCAGCCUGGAGAUGUUGAGAAGGAUAAAAAGGUCCAAUGGCUUUUGCCGAAAAGAUUGUCUUGGCUGUGUUUGGGGUAAAUUAUCAAACUUAUUUUUGUUUGCGGAGGCAAGUUCUAAUUAGGUUUUAUGGCCAGAAUUGUGUUCAUGCUACUUCAAGUGAAUCUGGUGCUUCAUUUGUCCAAAUUCUGAAUAUCUCUUUGGCAUAGUCUUGCCACCAAUCAGUCUAAUAUAUUUAUUUAAGAUGCCAUUGUCUAGGUGUGAAUAUGUAAAUAUAUUCGUUGUCAAAUUUGUUCUAUAUUGGUCUUAACACUGUAAUUAAGAGUUAUAUCUUCAGUCCAUUUAAGGUA